UCCAAUCUCCAUAAAAAGCACAUAUUAUUACUCAGCAUACUUCAAAUACAAACAUACUCAAAAUUCAGGCAAUUCCUUCCAGGGGUUAAAACGUUAGCUGGAAGUCCUUGGUGACCGACCGCAAGCAUGCUUUCCUGCCCAAAAGAGUUCCAUAGAUUUGGGCUGUGAGGUCAGUCAAUUUCACUCAGAAAAAUUACUAAGUCACAUUUGCAUGCACGAACGGGGCUGCAAAUAGCUUAG